GAGGAUGUAGCUCAGGGGUAAAGCGCUUGCCUCCCAUGUGUGAGGCACUGGGUUCAAUCCCCAGCACCACA
rnacentral:tRNA from 1 species